rnacentral:rRNA from 1 species
GACGACGCUGGCGGCGUGGAUUAGGCAUGCAAGUCGAACGGUAUCAUCCUUUCGGGGGUGAGAGAGUGGCGAACUGGUGAGUAACACGUAGGUUAUCUACCCUCAAGACGGGGACAACCCAGGGAAACUUGGGCUAAUACCGGAUGUGAGCAACUUUUAGUUGUUUGAAAGGUGGCGUAAGCUGUCGCUUGGGGAUGAGCCUGCGUCCUAUUAGUUAGUUGGUGAGGUAACGGCUCACCUAGGCAAUGAUAGGUAGGCGGCCUUAACGGGUGGUCGCCCACACUGGGAUUGAGAUACGGCCCAGACUCCUACGGGAGGCAGCAGUCGAGAAUAGUCUACAAUGGUCGGAAGACUGAUAGUGCGACGCCGCGUGAACGAUGAAUCCCUUCGGGGUGUAAAGUUCUUUUAUAUGUGAGCAGUGCUUCUUAUAUUAACAGUACUCGGGGAGAGACGAUAUUAGCAUAUGAAUUAAGCAACGGCUAACUCCGUG